rnacentral:rRNA from 1 species
AAGCGCCGGUAAGGUGAUAUGAACCGUUAUAACCGGCGAUUUCCGAAUGGGGAAACCCAGUGUGAUUCGUCACACUAUCAUUAACUGAAUCCAUAGGUUAAUGAGGCGAACCGGGGGAACUGAAACAUCUAAGUACCCCGAGGAAAAGAAAUCAACCGAGAUUCCCCCAGUAGCGGCGAGCGAACGGGGAGGAGCCCAGAGCCUGAAUCAGCAUGUGUGUUAGUGGAAGCGUCUGGAAAGGCGCGCGAUACAGGGUGACAGCCCCGUACACAAAAGCGCAUGUGCUGUGAGCUCGAUGAGUAGGGCGGGACACGUGGUAUCCUGUCUGAAUAUGGGGGGACCAUCCUCCAAGGCUAAAUACUCCUGACUGACCGAUAGUGAACCAGUACCGUGAGGGAAAGGCGAAAAGAACCCCGGCGAGGGGAGUGAAAAAGAACCUGAAACCGUGUACGUACAAGCAGUGGGAGCACAGGUUUACCUGUGUGACUGCGUACCUUUUGUAUAAUGGGUCAGCGACUUAUAUUCUGUAGCAAGGUUAACCGAAUAGGGGAGCCGGAGGGAAACCGAGUCUUAAUUGGGCGUUAAGUUGCAGGGUAUAGACCCGAAACCCGGUGAUCUAGCCAUGGGCAGGUUGAAGGUUGGGUAACACUAACUGGAGGACCGAACCGACUAAUGUUGAAAAAUUAGCGGAUGACCUGUGGCUGGGGGUGAAAGGCCAAUCAAACCGGGAGAUAGCUGGUUCUCCCCGAAAGCUAUUUAGGUAGCGCCUCGUGAAUUCAUCUCCGGGGGUAGAGCACUGUUUCGGCUAGGGGGCCAUCCCGGCUUACCAACCCGAUGCAAACUGCGAAUACCGGAGAAUGUUAUCACGGGAGACACACGGCGGGUGCUAACGUCCGUCGUGAAGAGGGAAACAACCCAGACCGCCAGCUAAGGUCCCAAAGUCAUGGUUAAGUGGGAAACGAUGUGGGAAGGCCCAGACAGCCAGGAUGUUGGCUUAGAAGCAGCCAUCAUUUAAAGAAAGCGUAAUAGCUCACUGGUCGAGUCGGCCUGCGCGGAAGAUGUAACGGGGCUAAACCAUGCACCGAAGCUGCGGCAGCGAACGUAUCACUUAAAGCGAUUCAGCGGGUUACGAUUGACGGAGCGAAGCGACGUCAAAGCGUAUACAAAGUCGAGUCGGUUUAAGGAUACGUUCGUUGGGUAGGGGAGCGUUCUGUAAGCCUGUGAAGGUGGCCUGUGAGGGUUGCUGGAGGUAUCAGAAGUGCGAAUGCUGACAUAAGUAACGAUAAAGCGGGUGAAAAGCCCGCUCGCCGGAAGACCAAGGGUUCCUGUCCAACGUUAAUCGGGGCAGGGUGAGUCGACCCCUAAGGCGAGGCCGAAAGGCGUAGUCGAUGGGAAACAGGUUAAUAUUCCUGUACUUGGUGUUACUGCGAAGGGGGGACGGAGAAGGCUAUGUUGGCCGGGCGACGGUUGUCCCGGUUUAAGCGUGUAGGCUGGUUUUCCAGGCAAAUCCGGAAAAUCAAGGCUGAGGCGUGAUGACGAGGCACUACGGUGCUGAAGCAACAAAUGCCCUGCUUCCAGGAAAAGCCUCUAAGCAUCAGGUAACAUCAAAUCGUACCCCAAACCGACACAGGUGGUCAGGUAGAGAAUACCAAGGCGCUUGAGAGAACUCGGGUGAAGGAACUAGGCAAAAUGGUGCCGUAACUUCGGGAGAAGGCACGCUGACAC